rnacentral:rRNA from 1 species
CACGCCCUAAACGAUGUCAACUAGGUGUUGGGGAAGGAGACUUUCUUAGUACCGCAGCUAACGCGUGAAGUUGACCGCCUGGGGAGUACGGUCGCAAGAUUAAAACUCAAAGGAAUUGACGGGGACCCGCACAAGCGGUGGAUGAUGUGGAUUAAUUCGAUGCAACGCGAAAAACCUUACCUACCCUUGACAUGCCAGGAAUCCUGAAGAGAUGUGGGAGUGCCCGAAAGGGAAUCUGGACACAGGUGC